ACUGAACGCUGGCGGCAUGCCUUACACAUGCAAGUCGAACGGCAGCACGGGAGCAAUCCUGGCGGCGAGUGGCGAACGGGUGAGUAAUGUAUCGGAACGUGCCCAGUCGUGGGGGAUAACGUAGCGAAAGCUACGCUAAUACCGCAUACGAUCUGUGGAUGAAAGCGGGGGGCCGUAAGGCCUCGCGCGAUUGGAGCGGCCGAUAUCAGAUUAGGUAGUUGGUGGGGUAAAGGCCUACCAAGCCGACGAUCUGUAGCUGGUCUGAGAGGACGACCAGCCACACUGGGACUGAGACACGGCCCAGACUCCUACGGGAGGCAGCAGUGGGGAAUUUUGGACAAUGGGCGCAAGCCUGAUCCAGCAAUGCCGCGUGCAGGAUGAAGGCCUUCGGGUUGUAAACUGCUUUUGUACGGAGCGAAAAGGCUCUCUCUAAUACAGGGGGCUCACGACGGUACCGUAAGAAUAAGCACCGGCUAACUACGUGCCAGCAGCCGCGGUAA
rnacentral:rRNA from 1 species